rnacentral:rRNA from 1 species
GUAACAAGGUUUCCGUAGGUGAACCUGCGGAAGGAUCAUUAUCGUUGGGCUCCUGCCCAUUCGAGAUAACACCCUUGCCUUUUUGAGUACCUUUUCGUUUCCUCGGCAGGCACGCCUGCCAACGGGGACCCUUCAAAACGCUUUGUAAUACCUGUCAUUGUCUGAUAUAACAAGCAAAAAUCAAAACUUUCAACAACGGAUCUCUUGGUUCUGGCAUCGAUGAAGAACGCAGCGAAAUGCGAUAAGUAGUGUGAAUUGCAGAAUUCAGUGAAUCAUCGAAUCUUUGAACGCACAUUGCGCCCUUUGGUAUUCCUUAGGGCAUGCCUGUUCGAGCGUCAUUUAAACCUUCAAGCUCAGCUUGGUGAUGGGUGACUGUCCCCUCCCUUCGCGGGGGGACUCGCCUCAAAAACAUUGGCGGCCGGUACAUUGGCUUCGAGCGCAGCAGAAACGCGGUCUCGAGCCCGGUGGAUCGGCUCCCAUAAGCCUCAUUCUUUAUUUUGACCUCGGAUCAGGUAGGGAUACCCGCUGAACUUAAGCAUAU